rnacentral:sRNA from 1 species
AGUGAAAAAAUUGAACCAUUUAAAAUAAGAGAAAUGUUAUGAUGACUUGUAUAGAUUAUCUCAUAGUUUUUCACUUGAAAAUUUUUUUACACUCUCUCUCUUCUCUUUUCAUUUUCUAAAUUAUUUUAGUAGUGAGAAACUAUCUUGAAAAUUUUUUUACACUCUCUCUCUUCUCUUUUCAUUUUCUAAAUUAUUUUAGUAGUGAGAAACUAUCUUGAGAGACUACUAAUGGAAAUGGUCUUAGAUUCUGACUAUACGUUCAUGUGACGUAUAAAUUAUUACUUUGACCGCUUAUAAUAAUAAAAAUAUUUUAUGCUAUAAUCUGUUAUGUUGGCUAAUGCAUCUUUCAUUGGAAAAAUUCUG